CGUAGGGGGCGUAGCGUUGUCCGGAUUUAUUGGGCGUAAAGAGCGUGUAGGCGGCCGAGUAAGUCCGGUGUGAAAACUCGAGGCUUAACCUCGAGAUGUCAUCGGAAACUAUUCGGCUAGAGUCCGGAAGAGGAGAGUGGAAUUCCUGGUGUAGCGGUGAAAUGCGCAGAUAUCAGGAAGAACACCUAUGGCGAAAGCAGCUCUCUGGGACGGUACUGACGCUGAGACGCGAAAGCGUGGGGAGCGAACAGGAUUAGAUACCCUGGUAGUCCACGCCGUAAACGAUGGGUGCUAGGUGUGGGCGGUGUCGACUCCGUCCGUGCCGAAGCUAACGCAUUAAGCACCCCGCCUGGGGAGUACGGCCGCAAGGCUA
rnacentral:rRNA from 1 species